AAAACGACUCUCGGCAACGGAUAUCUCGGCUCUCGCAUCGAUGAAGAACGCAGCGAAAUGCGAUACUUGGUGUGAAUUGCAGAAUCCCGUGAACCAUCGAGUCUUUGAACGCAAGUUGCGCCCAAAGCCUUCGGGUUGAGGGCACGUCUGCCUGGGUGUCACGC
rnacentral:rRNA from 1 species